rnacentral:snoRNA from 1 species
GAAGAAGCAAAAUGAUGAGCAUUAUUUCCUUGAGCCUUUGAGAAAAGUGUGUAUGAAGUGUGAGUAUGAAACUGUGCGAUUGUGAGAAAUGUGUGCCUUACAGUCGGGCGAUGAUGGCUAAACUGAUAAGAUCUGAUUGCUUC